GACGAACGCUGGCGGCGUGCCUAAUACAUGCGAGUCGAGCGGACGAAUCGAAAGCUUGCUUUUGAUUCGUUAGCGGCGGACGGGUGAGUAACACGUGGGCAACCUGCCCUGUAGACGGGGAUAACACCGAGAAAUCGGUGCUAAUACCGGAUAACACGAAAUGUCGCAUGACGUUUCGUUGAAAGACGGCGCAAGCUGUCGCUACAGGAUGGGCCCGCGGCGCAUUAGCUAGUUGGUGAGGUAACGGCUCACCAAGGCGACGAUGCGUAGCCGACCUGAGAGGGUGAUCGGCCACACUGGAACUGAGACACGGCCCAGACUCCUACGGGAGGCAGCAGUAAGGAAUCUUCCGCAAUGGACGAAAGUCUGACGGAGCAACGCCGCGUGAGCGAAGAAGGCCUUCGGGUCGUAAAGCUCUGUUGUUAGGGAAGAACAAGUAACGCAGUAACUGGCGUUACCGUGACGGUACCUAACGAGAAAGCCACGGCUAACUACGUG
rnacentral:rRNA from 1 species